rnacentral:tRNA from 1 species
GGCUAGAUGGUGUAGUGGUCACAUAUCCUAACGUAUAUGGGAAGACCCGGGUUCGAUCCCCGGUCUGGCCA